UUAGAUUGUGAAUCUAAAUAUAGAGGCCCAACCCCUCUUAUUUACC
rnacentral:tRNA from 1 species